GUGAGGAAUAUUGGUCAAUGGACGAGAGUCUGAACCAGCCAAGUCGCGUGAAGGAAGACGGUUCUAUGAAUUGUAAACUUCUUUUGUGCAGGAAUAAAGUGGGUUACGUGUAACCUUUUGUAUGUACUGUACGAAUAAGGAUCGGCUAACUCCGUGCCAGCAGCCGCGGUAAUACGGAGGAUCCAAGCGUUAUCCGGAUUUAUUGGGUUUAAAGGGUGCGCAGGCGGGUUGAUAAGUCAGCGGUGAAAGUUUGCAGCUUAACUGUAAAAUUGCCGUUGAAACUGUCGAUCUUGAGUGCAAAUGAGGUAAGCGGAAUGUGUUGUGUAGCGGUGAAAUGCUUAGAUAUAACACAGAACACCGAUUGCGAAGGCAGCUUACUGGGAUGCAACUGACGCUCAUGCACGAAAGCGUGGGGAUCAAACAGGAUUAGAAACCCUAGUAGUCC
rnacentral:rRNA from 1 species